UACGGAGGGUGCGAGCGUUGUCCGGAAUCACUGGGCGUAAAGGGCGCGUAGGCGGUUGGGUAAGCGUGCGGUGAAAGCCUGGGGCUCAACCCCGGGUCGGCCGUGUGAACUGCUCGACUCGAGCACUGUAGAGGCAGGUGGAAUUCCGGGUGUGGCGGUGGAAUGCGUAGAGAUCCGGAAGAACACCAGUGGCGAAGGCGGCCUGCUGGGCAGUGGCUGACGCUGAGGCGCGACAGCGUGGGGAGCAAACAGG
rnacentral:misc_RNA from 1 species